CCUACGGGUGGCAGCAGUGAGGAAUAUUGGUCAAUGGGCGUAAGCCUGAACCAGCCAAGUCGCGUGAGGGACGACGGCCCUAUGGGUUGUAAACCUCUUUUGCCGGGGGACAAACGGCGGCACGCGUGCCGUCCUGAGGGUACCCGGAGAAAAAGCAUCGGCUAACUCCGUGCCAGCAGCCGCGGUAAUACGGAGGAUGCGAGCGUUAUCCGGAUUUAUUGGGUUUAAAGGGUGCGUAGGCGGGAUGCCAAGUCAGCGGUCAAAUUCGGGGGCUCAACCUGCGGUCGCCGUUGAACCUGGCGGUCUUGAGUGGGCGAGAAGUACGCGGAAUGCGUGGUGUAGCGGUGAAAUGCAUAGAUAUCACGCAGAACCCCGAUUGCGAAGGCAGCAUACCGGCGCCCGACUGACGCUGAAGCACGAAAGCGUGGGUAUCGAACAGGAUUAGAUACCCGUGUAGUC
rnacentral:rRNA from 1 species